UUUACUUGCUAUUUAAUGCUAUUAUUAAUUUACAUUUGACGUUUUAAUACCGUGAGUGUAGACGUGUAGACCGUGCUGUAAAUGAUAAUCUGAAAACGUUCAGUCGUAUAGUUGUUGAGCGCGUCAAAUGUUUAUAACCAUAUCAAAUAAUAUUGUCUGAUCUGUAGCUAUAUAAUAACCUCGAGCUCUAACCAACAAAAAAUAAUAAUUGUGCAAUGACAAUGGAGUUAGCGCUUCCAAAGGAACUGACAAUAUUCCUGACAAGACAAUAGUGGAAUCAGUGAGAUCAUGGAUCAUGGAUAUAGUACAGUGGGAUCAUGGAUCUCGUACCAACUACCAUCAGGGUUAUUAUGAUCUUUUGGUAUUUGACUAUGCCACAGCUAGUAUUCAACACAAUAGCAUUGUCUGCAUGGGUGCAAGGAACAUGGCAUUGUCGACAUCAGAUGAAAAUGCGCUCAGUGCUUCGACAAUGAUCUUUGUACUCAGUAUAACAUGAGCGAUGUCCACACUUUGUCACAUACUUCUAAAGGUUCUAAGCUCCCAUCGCUGUCAGAUUUGGCAAAAAUUAUCGAGACAAAAUGUGCCGACACAAUUAGCACUAGCGUGUUUUUUGGUGAGCAUCGACACGAGCGGUCUUCUCCUCGAACGUGUGAAUUCCAAGGAGAAAAUACCGUUCAAUUUCUUGCCAUCGGCGUAGCAGACAUCAGGAAUUAGUGAGCUUAUACGAUCAUUUUUUGCCAAAAGCAAACAAAACAACGCAAUGGAUGGAGGACUCUCAACAAUCAGAUCGAAGCUGUGACGAUCAAGGAGACUCCAAAUGCUGAAGAUGAUUCCAGUGAGACCUCAAGGAAUUCCGUGGAUGAAGAUUCGUCUCGAGUCUGUGCGGUCUCGUUGAUGAAACUGAUCGGUAGUCUAGUCAAUUUCAGAGAUCUUUCUAAAUAAGUGAGGACGUAUUUAACACGUCGUAUCAUUCAUAUGCAAGAGUGAAUUAGCGGAAAAGUUCCCUUAAUUUUUUUUGUUAUUAUUUUUGCUUCAUAAUAUGUGGGAUCGGGAUGGAAUAAUAUAAUAGUACAUUAUAGCCCAUAUGACAUAAAACCGGGUUUAGCUCAUACGGUGCUAUAAACUUAUUUUAUUUCUAAUAUCAAUGAGCAUUUAAUGAAGAAAAAAAAUUAUAGAGACUCCAACAUAUUUAUACGAUAAUCUAUUAAUGUAUUUACAUGUUUAUCCAUAAGUACAAGAUCAUUAAAAAUAUUUAAUGUUUAAACUGUA